rnacentral:rRNA from 1 species
UAAUACGGAGGGUGCAAGCGUUAAUCGGAAUUACUGGGCGUAAAGCGCGCGUAGGUGGUUUUGUAAGUUGGAUGUGAAAUCCCCGGGCUCAACCUGGGAACUGCAUUCAAAACUGCGAGACUAGAGUAUAGUAGAGGCAAGUGGAAUUCCAGGUGUAGCGGUGAAAUGCGUAGAUAUCUGGAGGAACAUCAGUGGCGAAGGCGACUUGCUGGACUAAUACUGACACUGAGGUGCGAAAGCGUGGGUAGCAAACAGGAUUAGAUACCCUGGUAGUCCACGCCGUAAACGAUGUCAACUAGUUGUUGGGUUCAUUUAAGAACUUAGUGACGCAGCUAACGCGUUAAGUUGACCGCCUGGGGAGUACGGUCGCAAGAUUA